GUUCAACGACUCUGACGGAAGAUAUCUGUUAGACAUCUGUCGCCAUAUUCGGGAUGAUCAGGUACUGUCGGAGCGCAAUCCUAUCACAGUCUGCUGUACUGCAUUGCAAACGGCUUGAUCUGGAGUCGUAUCGUGUUCUGUAGCUGUUGUGACUCUGACGUGGGUUUUGGCGAAUAUUGCGACAGUUUUCUUACGGCUGCCUUCAAUCAGCGUUGGUCACUGUCUAAUCACUAUCUGGUCCGAGUACACAGUUAUCGUCCCUUGAUUUUCGUUGUCCACGAAUAUAGUCCCUACUGUGGACAGUGUGUUACUUGUCAAUUUUUUUUAUACCCCUUCCAAAUUUAUUUAUUUAUGUUUUAUGCCUCAAGUAGCAAGAAGGGGGAUAAAAUUACACUGUAAAAAAAUUUGAUUCAUGAAUUAUAAUGUAAAGUAGUGAUUUGGUCCAGUUGAAAAAGGUCAAAAAUUAGCAUUUCGGAAGCUGUCAAAAGAUUUCAAGCCCCCCUUCACAUAAAAUUGUCCAUAUUUUGAGUUAGAGCUGAUGAAGUUUUCUAUAAUUUUGAUAUAAUUUGUCCCAAAAGUAGUUCAACACACUGUAAAAAUAUUAUGGAGAAAGCGCAGGUGGGUUUUUUUUUAUUUCCAUUUAUUGUCUAAAGGAAAUGCACUACGAAAUAACUGUGUACUCGGAC
rnacentral:lncRNA from 1 species